GUAGGGAGCGAGCGUUAUCCGGAUUUAUUGGGUGUAAAGGGUGCGUAGAUGGAUAUGCAAGUUGGUUGUGAAAUACCUUGGCUUAACUAAGGAACUGCAACCAAAACUGUAAGUCUUGAGUACUGGAGGGGAAAGCGGAAUUCCUAGUGUAGCGGUGAAAUGCGUAGAUAUUAGGAAGAACACCGGUGGCGAAGGCGGCUUUCUGGACAGAAACUGACAUUGAGGCACGAAAGUGUGGGGAGCAAACAGGAUUAGAUACCCUGGUAGUCCACACCGUAAACGAUGGAUACUAGGUGUAGGUGAUGAUAAGUCAUCUGUGCCGUCGCAAACGCAGUAAGUAUCCCACCUGGGGAGUACGGCCGCAAGGUUG
rnacentral:rRNA from 1 species